rnacentral:lncRNA from 1 species
CUACCUCGCCUCCAGCUGCUUCAGGAGAAAGGAAUUAAAAUCAAGCCCAAGUUGCUUUCCAGACGCUGUCCAAGUGUGCCUCUUUUUCUUUCUACUUUUUUUCAGUUAAAGAUACGGUAUCAGAGGUGGCUGAGAAGAUUGUUAGAGCCAGAGGCGUGAAAGUAAAUGGUUUAUGGAGAGCAAAGCCCUGAGAAGAAAGAAGAAUGUGAGGACCACAAAGUUCCAGAGCUAUGCCAGCCUUAUUCUGGUGGUUCUUUCUGGAGACAACGAAGCGAUGGAUCAUCACAGAAACACAAACACAACCGAUUCUGUGUUUACCCAGACGAUGAAGACUGGGCAAAGCUGGGGAAAAGAGAAGGCCUAGAAUGGUAUUAAAAAUGCCAUGUAAUGGUGCAGGAAUGCGCAAGCUAUGGAUUAAUCUAUACUGUGUGAUUCCAUGUUAGUGCCCUGUAAAUGUACACAAACGUUUACAUACUAGUAACAGACGGAAAAUAUGUAAGAACUUGACAGCAACUCAUCCAUUUCAGAGGAGCACUUAGGGGAAAGAAGCCAUUAAAUUUGCUUCAGUUGUUUGUUAUCUGAAUGGUCCCAGGAAUCAUAUAUUAUAUUAUGAAAUGCAUUUUAAAUACGCUCAUUUUU